rnacentral:rRNA from 1 species
AUUGAACGCUGGCGGCAUGCCUUACACAUGCAAGUCGAACGGUAACAGAUCUUCGGAUGCUGACGAGUGGCGAACGGGCGAGUAAUGCGUAGGAAGCUACCCGGUAGAGGGGGAUACCAGUUGGAAACGACUGUUAAUACCGCAUAAUGUCUACGGACCAAAGUGUGGGACCUUCGGGCCACAUGCUAUCGGAUGCGCCUACGUGGGAUUAGCUAGGUGGUGGGGUAAUGGCUCACCAAGGCGACGAUCCCUAGCUGGUUUGAGAGGAUGAUCAGCCACACUGGGACGGAGAAGCGGUCCAGACUCCUACGGGAGGCAGCAGUGGGGAAUAUUGGACAAUGGGCGCAAGCCUGAUCCAGCCAUGCCGCGUGUGUGAAGAAGGCCUUCGGGUUGUAAAGCACUUUCAGUAGGGAGGAAGAGUUGAGUGUUAAUAGUACUCAGCUUUGACGUUACCUACAGAAGAAGCACCGGCUAACUCUGUGCCAGCCGCCGCAGUAACAC